rnacentral:ncRNA from 1 species
UUAAGGGCAAACUCGAACGAAAGUCGGGGACGCAAAGCUACCGGUCUAGAGAGUCGUAAUGACUUAUGAUAGCGGGGUUACCAC